rnacentral:rRNA from 1 species
GACGAACGCUGGCGGCGUGCUUAACACAUGCAAGUCGAACGGUGAAGCGCCUUCCUUUUUGGUGGGUGUGGAUGAGUGGCGAACGGGUGAGUAACACGUGAGUAACCUGCCCCCUUCUUCUGGAUAACCGCAUGAAAGUGUGGCUAAUACGGGAUAUUCUGGGUCUGUCGCAUGAUGGGUCUGGGAAAGAUAUUGUUUCGGUGGGGGAUGGGCUCGCGGCCUAUCAGCUUGUUGGUGGGGUGAUGGCCUACCAAGGCGGUGACGGGUAGCCGGCCUGAGAGGGUGGACGGUCACACUGGGACUGAGACACGGCCCAGACUCCUACGGGAGGCAGCAGUGGGGAAUAUUGCACAAUGGGCGCAAGCCUGAUGCAGCGACGCCGGGUGAGGGAUGGAGGCCUUCGGGUUGUGAACCUCUUUCGCCAGUGAAGCAGGCCUGCCUCGUUUGUGGGUGGGUUGACGGUAGCUGGAGAAGAAGCGCCGGCUAACUACGUG